UCUUUGCAGCCGAAUUGAGGUUGUGUUUUGUUUUUUGCAAAUCACAUUAAAAGGGAAUUAGGUUCAAGACCUAAGCUGUUCCCGCAACUGUAAGCUAUCAAGCUUGUUGUUAUCUACAAAACCACUGUUCGCCGCGGCGAAUGGGAAGGUAAACAACAGGACGCAAGCCAGGAGACCUGCCUUUUUUCUUAACUAAUA
rnacentral:ncRNA from 1 species